rnacentral:rRNA from 1 species
UGGGAAUAUUGCACAAUGGGCGCAAGCCUGAUGCAGCCAUGCCGCGUGUAUGAAGAAGGCCUUCGGGUUGUAAAGUACUUUCAGCGGGGAGGAAGGGAGUAAAGUUAAUACCUUUGCUCAUUGACGUUACCCGCAGAAGAAGCACCGGCUAACUCCGUGCCAGCAGCCGCGGUAAUACGGAGGGUGCAAGCGUUAAUCGGAAUUACUGGGCGUAAAGCGCACGCAGGCGGUUUGUUAAGUCAGAUGUGAAAUCCCCGGGCUCAACCUGGGAACUGCAUCUGAUACUGGCAAGCUUGAGUCUCGUAGAGGGGGGUAGAAUUCCAGGUGUAGCGGUGAAAUGCGUAGAGAUCUGGAGGAAUACCGGUGGCGAAGGCGGCCCCCCUGGACGAAGACUGACGCUCAGGUGCGAAAGCGUGGGGCAGCAAACAGGAUUAGAUACCCUGGUAGUCCACGCCGUAAACGAUGUCGACUUGGAGGUUGUGCCCUUGAGGCGUGGCUACCGGAGCUAACGCGUUAAGUCGACCGCC